rnacentral:rRNA from 1 species
UAGAGUUUGAUCCUGGCUCAGGACGAACGCUGGCGGCGUGCCUAACACAUGCAAGUCGAGCGAAUGAAGUUCCUUCGGGAACGGAUUUAGCGGCGGACGGGUGAGUAACACGUGGGCAACCUGCCUCAUAGAGGGGAAUAGCCUUCCGAAAGGGAGAUUAAUACCGCAUAAGAUUGUAGUACCGCAUGGUACAGCAAUUAAAGGAGCAAUCCGCUAUGAGAUGGGCCCGCGGCGCAUUAGCUAGUUGGUGAGGUAACGGCUCACCAAGGCGACGAUGCGUAGCCGACCUGAGAGGGUGAUCGGCCACAUUGGGACUGAGACACGGCCCAGACUCCUACGGGAGGCAGCAGUGGGGAAUAUUGCACAAUGGGGGAAACCCUGAUGCAGCAACGCCGCGUGAGUGAUGACGGCCUUCGGGUUGUAAAGCUCUGUCUUCAGGGACGAUAAUGACGGUACCUGAGGAGGAAGCCACGGCUAACUACGUGCCAGCAGCCGCGGUAAUACGUAGGUGGCGAGCGUUGUCCGGAUUUACUGGGCGUAAAGGGAGCGUAGGCGGAUUUUUAAGUGAGAUGUGAAAUACUCGGGCUUAACCUGAGUGCUGCAUUUCAAACUGGAAGUCUAGAGUGCAGGAGAGGAGAAGGGAAUUCCUAGUGUAGCGGUGAAAUGCGUAGAGAUUAGGAGGAAUACCAGUGGCGAAGGCGACUUUCUGGACUUAUACUGACGCUGAGGUACGAAAGCGUGGGGAGCAAACAGGAUUAGAUACCCUGGUAGUCCACGCUGUAAACGAUGAGUGCUAGGUGUCGGGGGUCAAACCUCGGUGCCGGAGUUAACGCAUUAAGCACUCCGCCUGGGGAGUACGUACGCAAGUAUGAAACUCAAAGGAAUUGACGGGGACCCGCACAAGCAGCGGAGCAUGUGGUUUAAUUCGAAGCAACGCGAAGAACCUUACCAGGUCUUGACAUGCCAUUGACCGUCUUAGAGAUAAGACUUUCCCUUCGGGGACAAUGGACACAGGUGGUGCAUGGUUGUCGUCAGCUCGUGUCGUGAGAUGUUGGGUUAAGUCCCGUAACGAGCGCAACCCCUAUUUUUAGUUGCUAGCAGGUUAAGCUGAGCACUCUAAAGAGACUGCCGAUGAUAAAUCGGAGGAAGGUGGGGAUGACGUCAAAUCAUCAUGCCCUUUAUGACCUGGGCUACACACGUGCUACAAUGGUCGGUACAACGAGCAGCUACCUAGUGAUAGGAUGCUAAUCUCUUAAAGCCGAUCCCAGUUCGGAUUGUAGGCUGCAAUUCGCCUACAUGAAGUCGGAGUUGCUAGUAAUCGCGGAUCAGAAUGCCGCGGUGAAUGCGUUCCCGGGUCUUGUACUCACCGCCCGUCA